rnacentral:tmRNA from 1 species
GGGGCUGAUUUUGGAUUCGACAAAAUUAUGAAACUUGAAGAGCAUGUCAAGGUAAUACGGUAGGCCUUGUAAAAAAACCGUAUAAUAAUAAAUGCAAAAAACAACAAUUACGCUUUAGCAGCUUAAAACACUGAAGGCGUCUUGUAUUUUAUUAUUUGCUCUUUGAUAUAAAAUACAAGUCAUAACAAAAGAGAUCGCAUAUAAUAAGUCUAAUAUUAUAUGUUAAAUUAUUAAUAGACUUAGGUAAUAUUAUAACUUUGUUCAUCAGUUAAUAUUAUUGAAUUAUUAGUAUGAAACUAAACAUGUAGUUGCUAAUAGUGUAGUAUUUUUGGACGGGGGUUCGAAUCCCCCCAGCUCCAUAA